CUGCCCCACGGCGCCGCCCGGCUCCACCUCCGGCAGCGGGGAGGAGCUGCCCCGCCUCACGGCGGUGCCCCUCACCGUUCCCUGAGCGGGUGGCCCCGGCACGGCGACCCCUGGGUGUCUCCAGAGAGUUAUGCAGAGCAGUCUGGUUAAGCUGUGUCUACUGCACGGUUUUAAGGAAGAACACUGGAGUCAGCAACUCAGAAACUGGGACCCAAGGAUCUGAUGUUGUCUCUUGAAAACUCUGUGCUAUCAGACUUGUGCAUUUUCACAGAUAAACCUGCCAGGUGAUGCAUAUAAUGACCCCUCUGAAAAUAGGCACAGAAUAGCAGAGCUUGAGUUGUCCCAAAUGUUGUCCCACAAAAGUCAAGACAGGCACAGAGGCUUACCAGCAAAAGCACAUCAGAACUGUAUGAAGAGAGACGUAUGCAUCAAAUGAAUGCUGUUUUUCAAGGUACAUUCUUGAAUUCUUGACAAGACACAUAGUUACUUAUUUCUCCUCCAGUUGUUGUUGGCUUUGAUUAUUAAACUUUGAUUCUGAGAGAAAAGAGAAAAUUUUGUCAGCAUCCCUGACAGGCUGUAACUUUACAGUUGGUGAGUUCAGCUGCCAGCUAGUUGUCAUCCUUUAUUUCUGAAGAUUGCAGUUCUUUAAUGAGGAAAUGUCUGGUUACCAUAGAGAAGUUUUAGGUGAGGAGAGAGGAAAAGGGUUCAUAGGUUUCUUUUUCUCUCCUUUUCUCUCCUGUCUACAAAUAUAUAUUGGACAAAAAAAAAAAAAAAAAGGCCAAAAUGGGUCAUGGGGGCACAAUAGCAAUAGUGUGAAUCUCCUUUAAGACUUAAAAGUUUUCAAGAUGUAGGAGUUUUUCAAAUUGGAAAGCGUUGAGACUAAAGAAUGGAAGGUCUUCUCGUAAACAAAAGAAGUCCUUCUGCAUUUUAUGACAGAUGAAUUGAAAAGUGACCAGACAGGAAUUGCAAGCAAGUAGUGCCAGAAGGUUUCCUAAACAAGGAAUUUACUGAGUAAUACCAAAUGGUAUAAAAAGUGCUACACAAACUCAGUAGAAAGUCUUUGGAUGACUAUAGUAAUAAUAUGUUUGGCUACAGAUGCAGCAUUCCACCGUUUCUUCAAGUUAACUGUGUUGCACAGUUAACUGGAGCUUUAUGAUUACUGAAAAAAAUCUCCCAUUUACUAUCGAAUAACAAGCAUGCUUUGCCUAUUCUACUGCAAGACUAUAUUUGAAACAAGACAUUGCAGUUUCAGGGCGAUGCAGUUUCAGUGGGAAUUAAGAAUGUAAGGCCAGACAUGGGCAAAAUCAUCACCACUUGUUCCAGUAAUGCUUUGCCUUUGACUGAAACCCAUAGAUAAAAAUCUGUGUACUUAAGGACCACAGGCAUUAUCUCUUUCUUUGUUCAUUGUUCAGAAAAUGAAAAUUAGCACUUUGGCUUAAACAAUGCCUCAGGGUCUGUACUCCACUUGUGUUUCCUCAACUGAUACUGUAACCACGUGUUGUUAGGAAGAAUAUUAAGAUGAAAAUUCCCAUUGAACCCAAGAUAAGUCAGGGGUGAAGUCAUGUUUGUCUCCUUUGUUGUGUUUUUUGAUAAUAAAAUGUUGGUGUAUUAUUGUAUUUUAUACUUUUUGUUCUUAUAUAUCUUUUUUUUUUCUUUAAGAUGCUUUUAAAACUUGUGGAUGAAUCAAAUUUUUGUUUCCUUCUUUUGUAUAUAAAUUAUGCUGCUUUUAGUUUCUAGUGUGAGUUAUUCAAGUAACUUAAAACUAAUCAAAAAUAAGUUAUCUGUUUGAGGAACUGAUCUUAAAGAAUACAGAAUAUUAUAAAGGAUGUGGAAAGAAAUGUUUAUGGUCUACCAUCUUGAUGCACUAAUUCAAAACCAGAUGUUGAAAAUGUAUGGAAAACUAAUGCCUGAAGUCCAUGUAUGGUUUUGGGGCCCUAUUUCAGCUUCAUAUGUACUGGCAAGUAUUUGAGCUUUCAUUUUAAAAUGCUGUGUUGUUUUUUUCUUUAUUUCACACCGUAAAAAAUGUAUUCAAACACAAACUAUCUGGACUUCCAAGUGUUUUAGUUUUAUUACCAUUAUCAAAAGACGUUGGAAUCAUUGUCUUGUUUAACAGCUGCAGAAAGCAAUUUUCACUAGGUGUAACAACGGUAAAUAGGAGAUAGAGUUUACUAUGGACAAGGCAAUAUCACUGUGAUACAAAAGUAAUUCUAAUCUGAUAAGAGACUUAACGGGGAAAAAAGCACUUCAAGAUUUGAUUACCCCAUCACUUUGAACAUAACAGACAAGACAAUCAAAAGAUUUUCUGUUAACAUUGUUCAAAAAGGGUUUAUUUAAGCAUGUGUGUUGAAUCAGUCACAGAGACUUGACUAUUCAGGAACAAUUAUUUCCUAAACAAAGAGAAACAACAACUGCGCUAACAACUUAUUUUGCUACUAUAUGUUCUAGAUAACUGCUUACUAAUUAGUCAUGAUGAGAAAAGAUAACGCAUGCAGACAAAUGUCUGUGACUUCUACUGUAUUGUUUUUAAGUGAAUUAGAGACCCAAAUAAAACAGAAUAAUCCCUAUUUGCAUAGAAUUGUGUAAAUAUUUCCUAUGGAAACCUGAAACCACAUGAAACUCAGGUAGUUUGACUUUGAAAGAAACCAGUUCUGUGUAUACAAACACAAAGGCUGGAUUAGAGAGUACACCAGUAAACUUGCAGAUGUCUUAUCUGUUAAGUGCAGGAGUCUCCCAAGCCUGCAUUGUGAUUUAUGUUCAAGGAUUUCAAGAAACUGGUGAUCCUUGUUUGCAAAAGUUCCAGAUAAAUGGAACGCAACACUUUUUUCACUCUAGCAAAUCUCAGUCUUAAGGAAAACUGCAAGGUUGAGAAAUCAAAUGAAUCAAAACUGACAUACGGGUUUCUGACGGGUAACACUGGGAAAAGACAAACUUAAAAAAUCGUAUUUUCAGUACUUAGUUUGUCAUCAAUGGAUACUUAUUUGUUCUUAUAUGGUUUUUAUAUAAAAUACG